AUUGAACGCUGGCGGCAGGCUUAACACAUGCAAGUCGAACGAGUGGCGGACGGGUGAGUAAUGCUUGGGAAUCUAGCUUAUGGAGGGGGAUAACUACGGGAAACUGUAGCUAAUACCGCGUACCAUAGGAUGAGCCCAAGGGGGAUUAGGUAGUUGGGGAGGUAAAGGCGCACCAAGCCGACGAUCUCUAGCUGGUCUGAGCGGAUGACCAGCCACACGGGGACGGGACCACGGCCCAGACUCCUACGGGAGGCAGCAGUGGGGAAUAUUGCGCAAUGGGGGCAACCUGACGCAGCCAUGCCGCGUGAAUGAAGAAGGCCUUCGUGUUGUAAAGUUCUUUCGGUAGCGAGGCGUUAACUACACAAGAAGCACCGGCUAACUCCGUGCCAGCCGCCGCGGUAAUUC
rnacentral:rRNA from 1 species